GCAGCCGCGGUAAUACAGAGGUCUCAAGCGUUGUUCGGAAUCACUGGGCGUAAAGGGUACGUAGGCGGCAUCAUAAGUCGUGCGUGAAAGGCAGGGGCUCAACCUCUGGAGUGCGCGUGAUACUGUGAUGCUGGAGUAAUGGAGGGGGAACCGGAAUUCUUGGUGUAGCAGUGAAAUGCGUAGAUAUCAAGAAGAAGACUCGUGGCGAAGGCGGGUUCCUGGACAUUUACUGACGCUGAGGUACGAAGGCUAGGGUAGCGAAAGGGAUUAGAUACCCC
rnacentral:rRNA from 1 species